rnacentral:rRNA from 1 species
UACCAGCACCCCGAGUGGUCGGGACGAUUAUUGGGCCUAAAGCAUCCGUAGCCGGUUCUACAAGUCUUCCGUUAAAUCCACCUGCUCAACAGUUGGGCUGCGGAGGAUACUAUAGAGCUAGGAGGCGGGAGAGGCAAGCGGUACUUAGUGGGUAGGGGUAAAAUCCGUUGAUCCAUUGAAGACCACCAGUGGCGAAGGCGGCUUGCCAGAACGCACUCGACGGUGAGGGAUGAAAGCUGGGGGAGCAAAC